rnacentral:rRNA from 1 species
UGCCAGCAGCCGCGGUAAUACGAAGGUCCCGAGCGUUAUUCGGAAUCACUGGGCGUAAAGGGAGCGUAGGCGGCGUGGUAAGUCAGAUGUGAAAGCCCAGGGCUCAACCCUGGAACUGCAUUCGAUACUGCCAUGCUAGAGUAAUGGAGAGGUAAAUGGAAUUCUCGGUGUAGCAGUGAAAUGCGUAGAUAUCGAGAGGAAGACCAAUGGCGAAGGCAAUUUACUGGACAUUUACUGACGCUGAGGCUCGAAGGCUAGGGUAGCAAAAGGGAUUAGAUA